rnacentral:lncRNA from 1 species
GCGCCCCAUCAGGUUAAAAUUUAUUAGAAAUGUUUGCUCAUCUCGUGGAACACUCACAGAACAAGUUCCUUGCAAUCCAAGGUUUUACUGUAGGUAUGAAACGGCAGAACAGUCACUAUUUUUGAAGUCUCACAAUAUGCUAGAGCUUUCACAAGCAUUAUUGCUACAACCGUCAUAAAAUCCCAUGCGUGGAGAAUUGCCACAUUUUGGAUGAGACAACGAAUCCUUUCGGAGAGGGUUAAGUGACGUGCACCACAGGUCACGGUGGGACCGAGAUUCGCACCAGGGUUGGACUGCCUCCACAGCACAAGGUCUCCAGUGGGGAGCCUGACAAAGAGCCUGGGAAAAGAAUGGCCGGGAGAAUAGCCCAGAGGCAGCCGCAGGCACCUUCUGAAAGCCGGAAGGACAGAGUCCAUCCCCAAGCCUGCCGCCAACGGCGGAGGAAGGCUCUGGCAGUGGGAGCAGAUGCCAGCAGGUACGAUCGGUGUCUGGCAGGAAGAUAGAACCAGAGCCUUCCGAGAGCACGGCCCAGGGGGCUCUGCAUCCAGUUGAGACAAUUAGUCCCUCUGACAUCACAGCGGGGCCUGUGCGGAGGUGGCCCCGGCCAAGCCUUGCGGCCCUGCUCUGGGACCCCCCACCCCCGCCCUCCCCCAGCUCCCCGAGCCGCGGAGCUGUGCUGUCCUGUCCUGUCAUUCAGUGAAAUGUCAGUGUGGGAGCAAACCGAGAGCAAACGUGUCUUUCAUUUGCCAAUUAGUCACUUACCACCUGUAACUGCUCUUGGGUGUGAUGUGCGGGCACGUGCUCUACAUUACUUAACCUCGCCUUGAUCUGGACUUGGUGUCCCCGCUCGAGUUUCAUUAAGUUCCCCGUGGGGCAGGACUGUCUUCUAUUUAACUGGAUGCCCCGGAGCACGAGGCAGACACACUCCUGGUGAUGGAGGGCCUGCUCCAGAGAAGGGAAGCAGCCCGGCCCCUCCCCGGUCGGUGGAGACAGCACCUGGGGCGGAGGUGACUGGUUCUGAUCACGGCCGUGCUUCCCCACCGGGGCUCAGGGAAUCCCUGCCCUGCCUCGCCCUCCCCUUCUGCCUCUGUGAGAAAUGGCAGCGGCACCACACGUGGGCGUGGGCGUCUGGUGUGAAGACGUUGGAUCAGUUUGGGUGUUCUCCAAAGCUGAGCCACGCCGAUUUGGCAAGCGACCACUCUCUCUCCCACGCUCUCCUCCCUGCACCCAGGAGUCUCGAAUCCCUGCUGCGCCAGCUGCCGCGUCGUGCAUCUGAGGCCUUUUCAUGUUCGUGGGCCGCGGCUCGUAUUUUAUAAACACACGGUCAGUUUACACUGCCUGGGAACUUAGGGGCUUUCCUCUCUCCGGGAAACAGCUGUGAGGAGCUUGACCAACCUUGGCUUUGUGGAGAGCGAGGCGUCGCCUCUGAUCAUGCACGUGGGGCAGGUGCCCUGGCCGGGUUCCCGUUGUCAUGCCUGAGGAUUCUCCCAGAAAUGCUAAGGAGGGGAGUUCAUUACGCUCUCCUCGCCCACUUCGAGUCUAAUCAUUCAUAAGUGACUCUGCAUGCUACAAAACCCUGUACGUGUUCAUCUUCACUUGUCUGCCAGUAGUACCUUCUAGCAUCUGUGACAGGGAGGUCACAGAAUCACAGAAUCGUAAAGCCGGAAGGGACUUUGAGAGUGUCAUCCAUCCAGGGGACAAGUAAGUAGGUGAGUACUUACUAUGCGCAAAGCACUGUGCCGGUUCCAGGGGUGAAGGAAAGUGAGCAAGACCAAGUCUCUGCCUUCCUCGAGCAACAGACUUUCUGCUCAGCCGCCACCUCCAUGAAGCCUUCCGUCACCUCCCCAGGCCAACUCAGGUUGUCUUACUGUGUAGUCCCACAUCCCUCUGCUGACCACCCUCAGGGCACCUGCCCCGCUGCAGUCAAAUGGCCUUUGUGACUUCCUUCCCCAUAGAAUGUGCGCUUCUAGUGGACAGGACCUGCCAUGCUGGGUGACAAUGAGAUCCUGCAGUUUGUGUCACAAGGGAAACAAUGGACGAAGAGACACGCUUCGUGUAUUGGCCAUCAGUGAUGGUAGUUACUUGGCUAACCACCUAAACAAGAUGAGGUUAGUGGCUGCCUGAAGAAGGCAGAACUGGAGAAGACAGAGGGACACCAGCAAUCUUUUUUUUUUUUAAUUUUAUUUUAUUUUUAUUUUUUUAAAUGUUUGUUUAUUUCGAGAGAGCCAGAGAGGGAGAGAGAGAAUCCCAACCAGGCUCCCCACUGCCAGCACAGAGCCCAACACAGGGCUCGAACUCGCAAACCAGGAGAUCGUG